UCUUGGUCAUUUAGAGGAAGUAAAAGUCGUAACAAGGUUUCCGUAGGUGAACCUGCGGAAGGAUCAUUACCGGGUGCGGGCCCUCGCGGCCCAACCUCCCACCCUUGUCUCUAUACACCUGUUGCUUUGGCGGGCCCACCGGGGCCACCUGGUCGCCGGGGGACGCACGUCCCCGGGCCCGCGCCCGCCGAAGCGCUCUGUGAACCCUGAUGAAGAUGGGCUGUCUGAGUACUAUGAAAAUUGUCAAAACUUUCAACAAUGGAUCUCUUGGUUCCGGCAUCGAUGAAGAACGCAGCGAAAUGCGAUAAGUAAUGUGAAUUGCAGAAUUCCGUGAAUCAUCGAAUCUUUGAACGCACAUUGCGCCCCCUGGCAUUCCGGGGGGCAUGCCUGUCCGAGCGUCAUUUCUGCCCUCAAGCACGGCUUGUGUGUUGGGUGUGGUCCCCCCGGGGACCUGCCCGAAAGGCAGCGGCGACGUCCGUCUGGUCCUCGAGCGUAUGGGGCUCUGUCACUCGCUCGGGAAGGACCUGCGGAGGUUGGUCACCACCAUGUUUUCACCACGGUUGACCUCGGAUCAGGUAGGAGUUACCCGCUGAACUUAAGCAUAUCAAUAAGCGGA
rnacentral:rRNA from 1 species